AUUACUUCUCAGCCUUUUGGCUAAGAUCAAGUACUUGUAGUACCUGUUCUUAUCAGUUUAAUAUCUGAUACGCCCUCUAUUCGAGGACAAUAUAAUAAAUGGAUAUUUUUUUAAAAAAGGCUCU
rnacentral:snRNA from 1 species